AAGGUGAGAGCUGUCACCAGAUGACAAAUACCACAGCCCCAACAGCAUCUUCAAAACAGAUUUUUCCUUUGAAAUGCGUCAGCAUGGAACAGCUUAUUUGUGGUGGUCCAGUUUUGCUUCCCACAGCAGAUCCAGCAGGAUAAGCACUCCAGCUGCAGCUGCUCGUUCCACAGGAGCUUGACAGCUCUCUGAACCAAGCCAGCCAUAGCAGCACAUCAGCCAGCAGUGGGUAAAAGACAGUGCUUACACCUAAAAGAGCAAUUUGAAAUCAAUGCUGAUUAAUUGCAGGGGUCAUCCAAUCAGGGAGGAUGCAAUUUGGAGAAGACUAAUGGUCUUGGGGUUAAGGAACUUGCUGCCUUCUCAGACAUCUGAGAAAAGAGUCAAAAGUUGCCAGGCAAGAAAUCUAUCAUCUAAAAAAGAGCAAACCCAAAACUGAUGAACUCUUACAGGGUUGGAAUCUGGCCACAUCCCUGGUGCUGUGAACAUACCCUUCCACUCAUUCCUAUCAGAAACAGGGCAUGAGAAGA